rnacentral:rRNA from 1 species
AAUCCAGUUUAUCCUGCUGGCGGCUGCGGCUAUCUGGUUUGCACUUAGACAUGCAAGUUGUUCUUUUUGUUCGCAAGAAUGAAUGGAAAGCGAACUGCUCAGUAACACGUAGCUAACCUACCCUCAAGCCCGUGAUAUCCUCGGGAAACUGAGGUUAAUAACGGAUAGAUGAUAUUUUCUGGAAUGAUAUAUCGUUGAAAAUUCGCGUGAGGAUGGGGCUGCGGCUGAUUAGGUAGUUGGCGGGGUAACUGCCCACCAAGCCAAUGAUCAGUAAGGGCCUUUAGCGAGGAAGCCCUGAGAGGGAGUCUGAGACACUACUCCCAGCCCUACGGGGUGCAGCAGUCGGGAAAAUUUUGCAAUGCGCGCAAGCGUGACAGAGCAAGCCAGAGUGCGUUUCUAUAAUUGAAACGCUUUUGUGGGAUGUAGAUAGUCCUACGAAUAAGGACUGGGAGAGACUGGUGCCAGCCGCCGCGGUAAUCCCAGCAGUCCAAGUCGCAGCCACAUUUGUUGGGUCUAAAACAUCCGUAGCUUGCUGUGUAAGUCCUGUGUGAAAUCUGGCCUCUUAAGGGUCGGGCGAGCACAGGAUACUGCAUAGCUUGAGACCGGGAGACGCAGUGAGUACAUACAGGGUAGCGGUAAAAUGUGUUGAUCCUGUAUGGACUAACAAUAGCGAAGGCACGCUGCGAGAACGGAUCUGACAGUGAGGGAUGAAGGCUAGGGGCGCAAAGUGGAUUAGAUACCCAUGUAGUCCUAGCAGUAAACACUGCACACUAAACAUUGGGGC